rnacentral:lncRNA from 1 species
CAGUUUUUACCUCACAGCUGACACUUAUAAAGGAGUUCCAAGUGCUUCCGCCAACUCCUCCUACCAGCAACUGUGAAAACAACGGCCAAUCAUAAGGUCUCUGUCACAACCACUCAACUCUGAUGUAACUGUAAGGCAGCCAUAGACAAUGUGUAAACAGCAAGGAGUAAUGCUGCUUUUCACACAGAAAGGGCUUCUACUGUGCCUGACCUUAAGACAGGAAAAGUAGGGGAGCUAAGGAAGCUACCUACACCGCCCUCACCCCCAGUAGCCAGGCUCAGGAAGGAAGAGGCACAGCGGUGUGAAUGGAUGGAGAAGAGGAGGCUGGUAGGCUGAGCCCCUGGCUCCUGGAACGAACACACAGCCAUGGCAGAGGAGAAUGUGGCUUGAAUAGGUUCCAUGACUUGUACAAGACCACAGCUGGUACAUGAUGAAGCAAGGACAAGACACGGGCAUCUGACCUCAAGAGUCUCUCCAAUCAUGAAAUACCUGUAUGAGUUAUCUAUUGCUGCAUAACAAAUUGCCCCAAUAUUUAGCAGCUUAGGAGCAGGAUUGCUGGAAUGGUGGGAUAAAACUUAGUGGCUUAAAACAACA